UACACAUGCAAGUCGAACGAUGAAGCCCAGCUUGCUGGGUGGAUUAGUGGCGAACGGGUGAGUAACACGUGAGUAACCUGCCCUUAACUCUGGGAUAAGCCUGGGAAACUGGGUCUAAUACCGGAUAGGAGCGCCUACCGCAUGGUGGGUGUUGGAAAGAUUUAUCGGUUUUGGAUGGACUCGCGGCCUAUCAGCUUGUUGGUGAGGUAAUGGCUCACCAAGGCGACGACGGGUAGCCGGCCUGAGAGGGUGACCGGCCACACUGGGACUGAGACACGGCCCAGACUCCUACGGGAGGCAGCAGUGGGGAAUAUUGCACAAUGGGCGCAAGCCUGAUGCAGCGACGCCGCGUGAGGGAUGACGGCCUUCGGGUUGUAAACCUCUUUCAGUAGGGAAGAAGCGAAAGUGACGGUACCUGCAGAAGAAGCACCGGCUAACUACGUGCCAGCAGCCGCGGUAAUACGUAGGGUGCGAGCGUUAUCCGGAAUUAUUGGGCGUAAAGAGCUCGUAGGCGGUUUGUCGCGUCUGUCGUGAAAGUCCGGGGCUUAACCCCGGAUCUGCGGUGGGUACGGGCAGACUAGAGUGCAGUAGGGGAGACUGGAAUUCCUGGUGUAGCGGUGGAAUGCGCAGAUAUCAGGAGGAACACCGAUGGCGAAGGCAGGUCUCUGGGCUGUAACUGACGCUGAGGAGCGAAAGCAUGGGGAGCGAACAGGAUUAGAUACCCUGGUAGUCCAUGCCGUAAACGUUGGGCACUAGGUGUGGGGACCAUUCCACGGUUUCCGCGCCGCAGCUAACGCAUUAAGUGCCCCGCCUGGGGAGUACGGCCGCAAGGCUAAACUCA
rnacentral:rRNA from 1 species